CAGCCAAGCUCGCCUGAGCCAUUCCCUGAAACGAAAAAGGGCCGCGCGAUCCGCGCGGCCCUUUGUGUUUGCGGAU
rnacentral:sRNA from 1 species